rnacentral:lncRNA from 1 species
CAAUGCCCUUUCCUGUGACCACUAUCAAGAACUGCUCAGGAUUCCUGCCAGCCUGUUAGCCUUUAUCGUUCAGUCAUUUUAGACCUCAAAAAGAACAUUCCAUCAAGGGAUCAGGUUCUAUCAUCUCACUGGAAUGCAAUUUAAGACAUCAUCUCCAGAAAACUGUGCUAGUUGGCAUCCAGCAGUGCCCAAGUAUUAUUUAACCCACUAGAACCUGUGACUGCAUCAGCUUUAUAUCCUGGACCUCAGCCUGGAACAAAGGAGAGCUACACUUGGAUACUAAACACAAGUGGUCUGGAUAGAUUAUGCUGGGAAAAGAAGCCUGGAGCAGGCAGUACAGUGGGAGAACAAGGAGAGAAUGGAGUUGCAGCAGACUGCUCAGGAAUUGUACAUCACCAGUAGCUUCUGUCUCAGCUAAGUGUGGGAGACUGAUACUGAUGAGCCAUUAACAAUGGUGGAGAUUCUGAAUCACUGAAGCACUUGAUAAAAGAAAUGUCGUGGGUGAUGUGAAAAUCUACAUAUGCCCAUGAGAGUAUAUUGAGUUUGUAAGUGUUGUUGCUUAGUGUGUCACAGAGAAGUUUAUAAGAAACUAUUUUGGAGUAAGAAACAACACAGAAGAACACAGUUUCAGCCUGAAAUGGCUUAUUUAGCCACUGACCAUCAGAAACAAUUACUUUUUACCUUAACCUAGAUUUGUAAUAGCAGGAUGCAUUGAAUUCCUUCAUUGAAGUGAAACCUUAGCAAAUCUUUAAGUAGUACUCUAAAGUGACAAAAGGUGUUUACAUUUACUAAUGUAAAUUUCUUGUGGAGAUAAAGUUUUUAUUCUUCUUGGGUCUCAAGACUGCUCAAGAAGGAACCAUCGUUUGUUCUACACUGCUCUGUUCUAAAUGUUUGUUCCCCCAAUAUUCAUAUGUUGAAAUUCUAACCCCCAAGGAGAUAGUAUUAGGAGGUGGGGCCUUCGGGACAUGAUAAGGUCAUGAGGAUGAAGCCCUCAAGAAUAAGAUUCAUUGCCUUAUAAAGAAAAACCAGAAAGAUCCCUCAUUUCUUCAAUCAUAAGAAGACACAUGAGCAAGAAGACGGCCAGCUAUGAAGCAGGUCGUGGGCCCUCGCCAGACACUGAAUCUGCCAACACUUUGAUCUUGGAUUUCCUAGCCUGCAGAACUGUGAGAAAUAAAUUUCUUUUCUUUAUAAUCCA